UACGUAGGGUGCGAGCGUUGUCCGGAAUUAUUGGGCGUAAGGCGCGCGUAGGCGGUUACUCAAGUCGGAUGUGAAAGCCCUCGGCUUAACUGAGGAAGUGCACCCGAAACUGAGUAGCUAGAGUACUAAAGAGGGUCGCGGAAUUCCCGGUGUAGAGGUGAAAUUCGUAGAUAUCGGGAGGAACACCGGUGGCGAAGGCGGCGACCUGGGUAGAUACUGACGCUGAGGCGCGAAAGCGUGGGGAGCAAACAGG
rnacentral:rRNA from 1 species